AGAAACAUACAACGAUCGGUUAUACUCCAAGAAGCUCCACCCAUUUUUGAUGUGAUGAAGCCUCCUUCUCUCACUGCUAAUUUGCAUUGAAGACCAUGAAAGGCCACCCAGCAAAGGGCACUGUCUCCCAGGAAACGGUGCCAUUGCAUAGGGAAAAGAUUCGCUACCCUGGCAGCCAAUCAGAAGCAGCAGUGGGACCAGUGGCUAGGUUUUUGCCCAUGUCCAGGAAGAAGGGAGGGAGACAAACACAAGCAGGUGCCUGGCUACGGACGAUCUGUUGCGGACUAAUCCCCUCUAACAAGUUUGCUUGGAAGCAAGGCGGAUCUGGCUGUGAAGAUUAACUCGUCUCACUUGAGGAGACAGGCUUUGGCAGUGCCUGGAAAAGUGGUAACUGCGCCCAUUCGGUUGUCGCCGCGGAGACCACUGAAAACGGUGGCGCCAUGGUGUGCCGAACACCUGCUAAGCCUGUGGCGAGGCUCACGUGCCAGUGGCUCCGGGAUCCCUGGGGAUAGGCUGUGUUUGUGUGUGCUGCUCUGGAGCUCAGCGGACUGGUAUUCAGCGGGGUCGUCAUUGUGUCAACCACAAGGGCACGCA